rnacentral:rRNA from 1 species
UACGUAGGGUGCGAGCGUUAAUCGGAAUUACUGGGCGUAAAGCGUGCGCAGGCGGUUUGUUAAGACAGAUGUGAAAUCCCCGGGCUCAACCUGGGAACUGCAUUUGUGACUGCAUCGCUGGAGUGCGGCAGAGGGGGAUGGAAUUCCGCGUGUAGCAGUGAAAUGCGUAGAUAUGCGGAGGAACACCGAUGGCGAAGGCAAUCCCCUGGGCCUGCACUGACGCUCAUGUGCGAAAGCCAGGGGAGCGAACGGG